UUUCUGUAGUUUUGUUCCCGGAGGAGUAUGACAGUGUGGCAGUAGUUCCACGCCUUUGGCUCAAAGGGGGACUUGGCUACUGGUCACCACACAGCAUCACCAGCAGAAGGUCAUUCAGCCACGACAAGUUUGCCAGAACUUGUUCACCACCUUAAGACACCUGGGAGACUGUCCCUUAUCAAACAUGCAGAUACGUGAGAGACCGGACGUGUGUAUCACCAGAUGAGCGAAAAUGGUUCCAUUCUGGGCCCCUACCACCCCAAGGAUGCAUAUCUACACCACAACACCUUGUGGAUUGCAGCCUUGGAGGAUGGAACAAGCACAGUACUCCAAGGAACCACGCCACAAUGUGGAGGACUGCUACAUUG